rnacentral:lncRNA from 1 species
AGGAUAAAAGACUUGAUUUGAAGUUGCACUAGUAAAAAAGAGAAAGAGUGUUUUCAUUUGUUUUGUCUUUUUGGUUUUGGUGUUUUGUUUUAGAAAGUAAACAGAAUGUGACAUAUUGUUGAAAAUAGGAAGUUGGAAUGGGAAGUUUGUAAGCGAUGGACAUAGACUAUGAAAGACUGGCUCUUGUGAAAAUUAUGGAAGCAUGGACAGAAGCGGAGCAGGAGGGAGGGGCCUUUUGCCAUGGGGAGGAGAUCUAACUUGGGCUCAAUACGUGAAGUUCAUCCUUCUUGCCUUGAUAAUUCAUUUGGAAGUAAGACUGUGGAAGCCACUUUACCAGCUCCACGGAGAAUGGGGUAAGUCUCCACUACCCCUCUCCACCAAGACCCC